AACCACCAAGAUUUCCGAUUUCGCUGCGUAGCCGAGCCUGGUCUAGGUCUAUCCACACUGAGAGCGGUUUCCUUGAAACGCUUAACGCUCGUCGUCCGUCCGUUAACAAGUGUAAUCUGUUUUAAUCAGUGGUUUUCCUCGCGUUUAUCAUAGUAUCGUCAGGAACACCGGAAAAGCUAGAUGUCGCUAGCAAACAAGUAUAUUUUCGGUGUUCUGAGGGGAAAGUGUAGUGAGUGCGAAGAUUGCAAAGAAUAUAUAACCGAAAACGAACGUCACCACCGCAGCCCUAAUUCACACACUUCAUACACUGGGAUCCCACAUGCAGGUUCACAUACCGUCACCAGCGCAAUGCAGUACCUCACAAACUCGUCCCAGAGCGCCUCCAACGCUGAUAACGGAGUAAUGUAGUGUCUCCUGCGUUACUGUACACUCAUAUUCCUCAAGGUUGUGUGCGUUUUAUGUAAUACUGUAUUGCCAUUUGCGCUCGCCUCUGCAACACGAAUGUGGAAUAAAUUUUUUUCUGCUGCAAUU